rnacentral:rRNA from 1 species
UACGGAGGAGGCAAGCGUUAUCCGGAAUUAUUGGGCGUAAAGCGUCCGCAGGUGGCACUUCAAGUCUGUCGUCAAAGACUGGGGCUUAACCCUGGAAAGGCCGUGGAAACUGAAUAGCUAGAGUGCAGUAGGGGUAGAGGGAAUUCCCGGUGUAGCGGUGAAAUGCGUAGAGCUCGGGAAGAACAUCGGUGGCGAAAGCGCUCUGCUGGACUGCAACUGACACUCAGGGACGAAAGCUAGGGGAGCGAAUGGG